AACCUUAAAAUCCUAUCCAUCCCUGCCCUUAGAAACAAAUGAAGGGUCUCUCCAGUUUUGCAUUAAAGUCUCUUUUAUGUUUUCUUUUUGGAGCAGAUUAAGAGCAUGCAACCCUUCAAUGGAAUCUGAGAUGUCCAGAAAGGUGGCCGUAGGCCUUAUUUGGGGCGCUUCUUAACAAUAGAUUGAUUUUGUUGUGGAGAUGGCAGGUGGCGGCUUUAGGGGCGGCUGUGGAGAUGGCAGCGGCAGAGUCGAAAGGUUCGGCGGCAGCAGAGGCGGUGGCUGAAGAGGUAGAGGUCGCGAUGGAGGUAGCGGAGGGCAAGGUUUGCCGGCGAAGCGAAUAUGGUUCCUGGUGAAGGAUGUAUAACGAGAAGAGGAUCUUGGUGCAAGUACAGAGGAACCACCCACAUAUUCUACAAGACCCGAAUGUGCCAAAAGUUUCUUGAUUGAACCUGUCGUAACAGCGACGGCUGUACGUUCGCUCAUGGCCCAAACGAUUUGCGCGAACCGCCUCCGAACUGGCAAGAGCUUGUGAAGGAUAAUAGAGUUGGCGGACUCUGGCAAUGAGUUUAUUACAUCUGUUAUAAACGGAGCUGAUCUGGUCCCUACAUUUUCAGCUGCUUCAGUGGAUGAUUUAAAGUGGCGCACUGCACUUGAGAAGAGCUAUAGGUUCUCAAACAAGUCGAUGCGUUUGCAACAAAAGGGGUUAGCGCUCCAAGAGGAAAGACCAGUUUCAUACCAACUAUUUCCUAAUUGAAAAAUGUUUGAAUGUAUUUAAGUUAAUAUCUGUUCAAUUUCAAAUGGUGCAGGCAGACAUAUUUUUGCGAGGCUAUGGUGGUUGGAACUCCAGGCAAGCGGUACAAGUUCUAGAUGAAUUGUUUCCAAAGGUUGCUAUUUCGCCCGAAGUUAUUUCUAAAACAAAAUGUCAGGAGAUAAUGAAGCUUCUUUGCGAGUCAUUUAAGGCUUCACAUCUGGGAAACUUGAUGUUGGCUUAUGAUGGGAAGAAAAGUGCAUUCGCUGCUGGUUCCUUGCCAUUCGAGUUGAAAGAAUUUGUUGUUAACAUUACCGAGCGGAAUGGGUGGGAACGCGAAUUCAAGGUCACCAUUAAGUUUGCUGCAAAAAAAGACCUUCGCUAUCUGAAGAUGUUUCUGACUGGCAGUCAACAUGACAGUCCACAAGAAACUAUACAAGCUCUUGAAUCUCUUGAUGUAGUUCUAAGGGAGUCAGCUUCUAAUGACCGUGAAGUAAUUGGGAGAUCACUCUUUAGCCCUGUAUUUGGUAAAGGCACACUUGGUGACGGUAUUGAGUAUUGGAAGGGCUUCUACCUAGGGAUGAGCUCAGUACCGUCCGGUACCAAAUCGGUACCGGUACCGAAAGAACCGGUACUGAAAAUCCUCAAAAGUGGGUACCGGUACCGGUACCGAAUAUACCCGGUUCGGUACAGUUUGGUAUAGGUAUUUGAGGGUAAAAAACCGGUAAAUACCGGUACCGAACCCGUACCGAAAAUGCUAAAAGUCGGUUCCGAAUCGGUACCGAAAAAGUACCCGGUUCGGUAAAUUCGGUACCGGUACUUCUACCAGAGUUUACGACCUACACAAAUGGGACUAUCACUGAACAUUGCUUGGGCUUUCUAUGAAAACAAGUUGGUAUCUGAGUUUUUAAAGACUUUCUCAACAAGGAUAUAUCAAGACCGCUUAGUGAUCAAGAAUGGAUUAAGGUGAAGAGAGCUCUUCGAGGAGUUAGGGUUGAAGUUCGCCAUGGGGAUUCUGUGAGGCGCUACAAGUGUCAAGACUUGACACGUAACUUUUGUGGGUGACAGUGGAGCCACAAUUUUUGUUGUUCAGUAUUUCCGAGCAAAGUACAACACCACUCUUCGUUAUCCGUUACUUCCUGCUAUUCAAUCAGGCACAGAAGCAAAGCCUACGUAUCUGCCAAUGGAGCUUUGUACAUUGUCUUUUGGUCAAAGAUAUGCUUCAAAGCUAAAUGAGAAACAGGUGACUAAUUUGCUAAGGGCCACAUGUCAGCGCCCAAGUGAGAGGGAAGGUAGCAUUAUGACGAUCAUGCAGAGUAACAAGUAUAACGACGAUGCUCUUGUGAACAAUGAAUUUGGCAUGCGAGUGAGAGAGCAAUUCACUUCUAUUGAUGCGCGAGUUCUUCAAACACCACCAGUAAAUUCACACUUUUAUCUCCAUUUUUUCAAGUAACAUGUCGUUUGUAUAUCGUCUGAGGUUUGUCUUAAAGUAGCUUGAGCCGAGCUCGAGCUUCAUAAAAACAUGAGGAGCCUAGCUCAAGCCCCGUCAAGCUCGGGCUCAGACCGGCUCUUUUACACCCCUACUGGUGACCCAUCUGUUGAGCCGUUGCGUACUGUCUACUACUCAAACAGUUGACAAAAACUGACCUCUAUAGAAAUAUAAUCAAACAUUUGACUUUGACCUCAUCAAGUAUAUAGAGAUAUGCCUAAUCCCACCCCUAAAGUUGAUGUUCAUAUCCAGUAGUUGAACUAUUUAUAUACGCAUCAACUUCUUUAUAUUAUAUAUGAUUAUAUACAGUCAGUUUAAAUGGAA